AUUGCAGGCUGCAACUCGCCUGCAUGAAGCUGGAAUUGCUAGUAAUCGCGGAUCAGCAUGCCGCGGUGAAUACGUUCCCGGGCCUUGUACACACCGCCCGUCACACCAUGAGAGUCGGGAACACCCGAAGUCCGUAGUCUAACCGCAAGGAGGGCGCGGCCGAAGGUGGGUCCGGUAAUUGGGGUGAAGUCGUAACAAGGUAAC
rnacentral:rRNA from 1 species